UAUAAUCUCGUCAUAAAUUAUGCCUUGUAUGAUUUUAGAGUCGGAGACUAUAAGCUGAUUACAGGACACCCCGAUUUAUUGUAUCCAUAUCGGGAUAUCAGUUUAACAGAUAACUAUUACAACUACGGUGACCCCCCAGCAAGCGGAUUGCCAAGUACAGACCAAGAGGCAAACGCACCAGCUCCACAGAACGUUGAAUACUUGUUCAAUGUCGUAGUUGACCCAGAGGAAAGAAACGACAUCUCAGCUGAUAAUCAAGAUAUAGUACAAGAUUUACGUGAUCGAUUGGAUGAACAUCGUAAACUGCUAAUUCCACCGGUAAACCAAACAACAGAGCUAGCUGGUGCCGCCGGAAAUUUCAAUGAUGUCUGGUCACCUGGUUGGUGUUAAAUCAACUGAUACGUAAACUCAAAACAUGCGACAUUCCCUACAUUUUAAAUCUAGCUAUCCAUUCUAUCGCAUUCCUUAUUAUUCGAUUAUUGAUGUCUAAUAUUAUUUAAUUUGUUAUUUCACAGACAAUAUCUCAUUUGUAGAUUUCUGAUACAUGUGAUAUGAAUAUCUUUGCUUACGUCCGCAGCAUGUAGACUCGUUUGAUAUAGCUAGAUAUUUGUGGAACGAGGUUGUUGUUUACUACGUGAUUGGCUACUAACGAGACAGCACAUUGUAUGACAUACUCAGGAAAAACAUAUCACUUGUUAUCAAUAAUUUUAACUCAUGGAUUAUUUUGUUUCAUUUUCAAUGGUAUCAAAUAAAUGUUCAUUGUUACGAUGAAAA